rnacentral:rRNA from 1 species
GAAGCGGCAACAGCUCAAAUUUGAAAUCUGACCCUCUGGGGUCCGAGUUGUAAUUUGCAGAGGGUGUUUCGGGCGCGGUGCCGGUUUAAGUCCUUUGGAACAGGGCGUCAUAGAGGGUGAGAACCCCGUAUGCGACCGGCCGCCAAACCCAUGUGAAACCCCUUCGACGAGUCGAGUUGUUUGGGAAUGCAGCUCAAAAUGGGUGGUAAAUUUCAUCUAAAGCUAAAUACCGGCCAGAGACCGAUAGCGCACAAGUAGAGUGAUCGAAAGAUGAAAAGCACUUUGGAAAGAGAGUCAAACAGCACGUGAAAUUGUUGAAAGGGAAGCGCUUGCGACCAGACCUGCUCGCGGGUGAUCAGCGGUGCUUUUCGCGCCGUGCACUCGCCCGCGAUCAGGCCAGCAUCGGUUCCGGCGGCCGGACAAAGGCUCGGAGAAUGUGGCCCCCUUCGGGGGGUGUUAUAGCUCCUUGCGCAACACGGUCAGCCGGGACCGAGGACCGCGCUCGGCU